UUAGAAGUAAAAAUUUAAGAGGGAAACAAAAAUAAAACAUUUAAUUUGGUUAAAAAUUGUGGGAAAUUCUUCCCCCCAAAUGGCUAAAACUCCAAAAUUGUUAGGGGGAAAACUCCCUCCAAAUUUCCAAGAGUAAAACGUAAAAGUAAAGUAGUAAACUAGUAAAGUGACUAAAAAAAAUAACCUACUCGUCUUCCUCAGCCAUUUUCACUCUCUCUUUUGUCUUCACUCUUUUGACUUCUCAAAUCUUAUGCUACUCAUCUGAUCUCAAGCGCUCCGGCAAGGCAAGCCAAUUCAUGAGCUUCAUGUACUCGAGGUGCGCUUAAUUUGAUUUGCAUGUGGUUCUCCAUUCCCUCAGUUGAAGCGCGCCUUCUAAGCUUUCUCUCCUCCAUUGAAGCGAGCCUUUGAGCAAUGAAUGAUCAUAUUAUUUACGACGAGCCUAUUAUUUCACCAGAGGGAACAGAGGAUAAGUGUACACCAGAGGAAGAAGCCAAUGUUCAUACACAAGAGGAAGAAGCUGGUGAUCCUGAACCUACAGUUGACAACAACAAUGUGAGCACUAUGGAAUCUGGAUUUCAAGUUGUAGAAAAGAAACGGAGUCUAGUUUGGCCGGAAUUCCUCACGUUUGAGUGUUUGACAAGACGGAAUCUAGUGAUGGGAAACAGAGCUCAAUUUGCAAACGUUGCCAAAAAGAAUCCUUCAUAACCGACCCCCAUUAUGGAACCCAAAAUAUGCAAAGACAUCUAAGAAAAUGCAGUGCAUAUGAGAGAUAUUUGAAAAACCAAGGAGGAAACGGUUCAAACAAAGAACCUCCCUAAGCAGCACUUCAAUUGGAAACCGCAAGCGAAAAUUCGACUAUUUUGCGGUAAUUGUUCUUCUGUUAUUUUAUUUUGACAACCUUUGCUCCUUCUGGUUCCCUCUUCUUGUGGUUUGUUGUUGCCUAGGAUGCUGCUUGGGUGCUGCUUGAUAAUUGAUGCCUGCUGCCUCUAGUUUUGAGCAAUGUCGCCGCUGCCUUGAGCCUGUUGUGUAGCUGCUGCUUUGUUGGGUUUCUUUGUUUGGUCUGGUUGUUGUUGAUUUGUGGCUGCUGCUUUGCUGGUUCUUUUGUUGUUGUUGUCUGCCUUUUUUUGUCUUUCAUGCUACUGUUACCAGGUUGCUUGCUAUUUUAGCACUUCUGUAAAACCACACACCUGAGUUUAAAUAAUUUUAGUAGGUCAUUAUGUGAAAUUACUAGUUAUAAUACCUGGCUAUUUUUGAAUUCAAAUCAGAAUUUUAUUAAUAUUAAUCCAGGGUUUGUCCAUUGCUAUUACAAAAUUAAAUAUCACAAACUAAAAUAAAAUAAAACAUAGGGCAACGUUUGCUCCUUCUGGUUCCCUCUUCUUGUGGUUUGUUGUUGCCUAGGAUGCUGCUUGGGUGCUGCUGAUAAUUGAUGCUGCUGAUUUGUUCCUGGCCAUCUUGCCUGCUGCCUCUGGUUUUGAGCUAUGCUGCUGCUGCCUUGAGCCUGUUGUGUAGCUGCUGCUUUGUUCGGUUUCUUUGCUUGGUCUAGUUGUUGUUGAUUUAUGGCUGCUGCUUUGCUGGUUCUUUUGUUGUUGCUGUCUGCCUUUUUUUGUCUUUCAUGCUACUGUUACCAGGUUGCUUGCUGAUAAGUUUAUGUUGUUUUGUUUGGUGAUGUGUUUUAUGGUUUGUCGUUGACUCGUUGUGUUGAAUUCAGGAAUAUGACGAUAAAGAGGCCUCAUCUUCUUUUCAUGAUAGGCCAAUAUUGGAUGUUUACCUUGAGGACCCUAAACUAGAUCGGAAAGCGGAACUUGACAUAUUAGUUUUUUGGAAAGAAAAUGAGCAUCGAUAUAAAGGCCUUUCUCAUUUGGCUAGAGAUAUUUUAGUCGUGCCCUUGACAACCGUCGCUUCCGAAUCAACUUUUAGCGAAUAAAUGAAAAAGUUCAUCAAUUCCUAAAAAUGUGGAGGCUUUAAUAACAACUCGUAGUUGGAUGUACUCUUUUGAAACAAAUGAGGAUGAUGGAUUUUUGGGUUCUUAUGUGGAUUGGGCGACGGCUCCCGGUGUUAAUUGUAAACAAUUUUAAGAGUCGAAUAUUGGAGUAUAAUUAUUUAUAAUAUUUUGUAAUUUCAUUUGGAAUUGAACAUUAUGUACGCAUUAUUAUUGUACUAUUUUUUUUUUCUAGACUUGUGAGAAUUGUGACUUUUAUUUCAAGCUUUAGUAAAUUUUUUCUCAUUCUUAUGGACAAACUCCGUAGAAUAGUCGUUAAAUUUCAAUCUUCUUACAAAUUUUUAAUAACUUAUAAAGAGAAAAGGCCAAAGAAAUCGAGAAAAGUAAUGCUCAAAAUAUGUAAAUUACUUAGACUGUUAGUCUGUUACACAUUACAAAUUAAAAAAAAAA